GUGAUGUGUCAAUUAUGAGAUGAUAUACGUGACUUUUCAAUAAUGAUCAAUUAUGAGAUGACAUACAUGAUUUGUCAAUUAUGAGAAUACAUGAUUUAUUAUGAUGAGACGAUAUGCAUGAUAGGAAUGCUUAAGUAAGGGGGAAUACACGUAUAAAAGAUAGGGAAAAUUAUUUCGUUAUUUUUAUCUCCAUCAUCUCAUGUUUGUCAUAAUUAAAAAGGGGGAAAUUGUUGACCUACAGUUGACUUCUCGUUUUGAUUAUAACAAACAUAUUUUAUUUAAUAAUUGUAUUUAAGUGAUUAUAGAAGUUUACGACAAGCGGAGCUCUCGCAAGUUUGGACAAAGUGGAAACCAAGCUACAUAUCAAGACAACGGUCACUUCAAGAAGAAAUUAGAAGAAAAUAUAUUUAGACACCUUGAUUUCAAAUGUUAAGGUAAAACACUUGAGUAUUCGGCAUAUACGUCAUUUGAAGCUCAAGCAAUGUUUCUUCACACGACAAACAUGAUUUUUUUUGCAUAAAGAAAAGCAUGAACCUAUUACAUAUUUUAAGAAAUGUCAAAAAGUCCAUAAAACGUGUUGGAAACAUCUUUCAUAAAUUUACAUUUUGCUACAUUAUUUAAAGAAAGAAAAAAUCCAAAAAAGUGUUGUUCUAGAGGACGCAUCCAGUAGGUCUAGCCGACAAGUCCGGUUAUUCUAGCGGACGUCCGGUAUGAUAUGUUUGUCCAACGGUCAAGAAAUCGAACGUUUUGACUUCUGAACAACAAACGGUUACUUGACCGUCCAGAAAAUAACGAACAUCCGGUAUCCUCGUCCGGAAGAACAGAACUUUUGACCAUUUUUGUUGCUAUAAAUACUAGAUCACUUUUCAUUCAAUAAGAGAGUUGAUAUGAGCAUUUAAAGUGAGAUAUCACUAAUCUAUCUACUCAAUCACCUUUAU
rnacentral:lncRNA from 1 species